rnacentral:rRNA from 1 species
AGUCCCUUCAAAUCAGGUCGGAAGCACAAAGUCCAUCGGAUUCUUGGUACGACAAUCCGUCAUGGCUCCGUGAAACACACACGACAAGAUCUCAGAUGAGGUAAGACUACCCGCUGAAUUUAA